rnacentral:rRNA from 1 species
AUUGAACGAUGGCGGCAGGCCUAACACAUGCAAGUCGAACGAGUGGCGGACGGGUGAGUAAUGUCUGGGAAACUGCCUGAUGGAGGGGGAUAACUACUGGAAACGGUAGCUAAUACCGCAUACCAUCGGAUGUGCCCAGAUGGGAUUAGCGAGUAGGUGGGGUAAAGGCUCCCCUAGGCGACGAUCCCUAACUGGUCCGAGAGGAUGACACGCCACACUGGAACGGAGACACGGUCCCGACUCCUAACUGAGGCAGCAGUGGUGAAUAUUGCACAAUGGGCGCAGGCGUGAUGCAGCCAUGCCGCGUGUAUGAAGAAGGCCUUCGGGGUGUAAAGUACUUGCAUCGGGGAGGCGUUACCCGCAGAAGAAGCACCUGCUAACCCCGUGCCAGCAGCCGCGGUAAUAC